AUUGAACGCUGGCGGCAGGCUUAACACAUGCAAGUCGAGCGGGGUGAUGGUGCUUGCACUAUCACUUAGCGGCGGACGGGUGAGUAAUGCUUAGGAAUCUGCCUAUUAGUGGGGGACAACAUUUCGAAAGGAAUGCUAAUACCGCAUACGUCCUACGGGAGAAAGCAGGGGAUCUUCGGACCUUGCGCUAAUAGAUGAGCCUAAGUCGGAUUAGCUAGUUGGUGGGGUAAAGGCCUACCAAAGCGACGAUCUGUAGCGGGUCUGAGAGGAUGAUCCGCCACACUGGGACUGAGACACGGCCCAGAGUCCGACGGGAGGCAGCAGUGGGGAAUAUUGGACAAUGGGCGGAAGCCUGAUCCAGCCAUGCCGCGUGUGUGAAGAAGGCCUUAUGGUUGUAAAGCACUUUAAGCGAGGAGGAGGCUACUUUAGUUAAUACCCAGAGAUAGUGGACGUUACUCGCAGAAUAAGCACCGGCUAACUCUGUGCCAGCCGCCGCCGUAACAC
rnacentral:rRNA from 1 species